UAACCAGUGUGGUUCUGGUAACUGGUAAAUAGUGUGGUUCUGGUAACUGGUAACCAGUGUGGUUCUGGUAACUGGUAAACAGUGUGGUUCUGGUAACUGGUAAACAGUGUGGUUCUGGUAAACAGUUGUGGUUCUGGUAACUGUUCUAACCGAUAUUUCCGGGUCUGUGGACUCUGUAGAUAGAAAUGGCUUGCAUUGAGUGGUAGCCCUGAUUCUCACAGACACAGGAGUAUGUCUCUUCUGCCUGUGUGAAGCAGGGAUGUCCCUCAGAGAUCGAUUUAUAGCCAGUAAUCAAAAAUAAUUGUAAACAAAAUACACUUAUUUGUCAUAGAAGGAUAAGAUUCAUAUGAUAUGAAAGGCAAGUUCCUACAAGUUCAGGAAGCCAUGCUAGAGCUCUGUGAGACAUUCACAGUGAUGGGGACAGAUGUUUUGAUUUAAAAAAACAGAUCACAUUUUCUCUAACACUAGAUAUUUAAAUAUGUAUUUUACAGUUAUAAGGAGGGUGAAAUAUUAUAGUCAGUCCUUUUAUAAAUUGAUUAUACUGUAUUUAGAACAAAAUACAAGUCAUUUCAAGCCCGAUUCAUACAGUUUUGUUGAUUCGGAAAUACAUUGUAAGAUAUUUAAUAUUUUCAUCAUAUUGUCCUGUGUACUUGUGUCCUCGAAAGUGACUACACCUCUGCAAUUUAUAAAAAAAUUUUUUUUACCUGGAAGGUGAGAUUUUAACCUCGGAGUAUGCAGGAUUACUAGUUAUUGUUUAUGGCCCUCAUGAUGAAUCCUUACUUCUGGGGAUUAGAUAGAUUACAAUGAUUUACAUUUAAGAGGUUUUAAAUAACACAUACAAACCAGAAAGACUCAUCCAUACACAGAGUACAGGGAUGUUUGAAACCAGAAAGACUCAUCCAUACACAGAGUACAGGGAUGUUUGAAACCAUAAAGACUCAUCCAUACACAGAGUACAGGGAUGUUUGAAACCAGAAAGACUCAUCCAUACACAGAGUACAGGGAUGUUUGAAACCAGAAAGACUCAUCCAUACACAGAGUACAGGGAUGUUUGAAACCAUAAAGACAUCCCUACCUACAGUAGAAGGAUGUUUUAAACCAUAAAGACAU
ensembl:lncRNA